GCGGAGGAAAAGAAACCAACAGGGAUUGCCUUAGUAGCGGCGAGUGAAGCGGCAAAAGCUCAAAUUUGAAAUCUGGCACUUUCAGUGUCCGAGUUGUAAUUUGAAGAAGGUAUCUUUGGGUCUGGCUCUUGUCUAUGUUUCUUGGAACAGAACGUCACAGAGGGUGAGAAUCCCGUGCGAUGAGAUGUCCCAGACCUAUGUAAAGUUCCUUCGAAGAGUCGAGUUGUUUGGGAAUGCAGCUCUAAGUGGGUGGUAAAUUCCAUCUAAAGCUAAAUAUUGGCGAGAGACCGAUAGCGAACAAGUACAGUGAUGGAAAGAUGAAAAGAACUUUGAAAAGAGAGUGAAAAAGUACGUGAAAUUGUUGAAAGGGAAGGGCUUGAGAUCAGACUUGGUAUUUUGUAUGUUACUCUCUCGGGGGUGGCCUCUACAGUUUACCGGGCCAGCAUCAGUUUGAGCGGUAGGAUAAGUGCAAAGAAAUGUGGCACUGCUUCGGUAGUGUGUUAUAGUCUUUGUCGAUACUGCCAGCUUAGACUGAGGACUGCGGCUUCGGCCUAGGAUGUUGGCAUAAUGAUCUUAAGUCGCCCGUCUUGAACCA
rnacentral:rRNA from 1 species